AAGUCGUAACAAGGUCUCCGUUGGUGAACCUGCGGAAGGAUCAUUAAAGAAAAAAAGAGAAAUAUAUUAUAAAACAGAGAUAGAUAGAGAUAUGAUAGUAGUGAUAUUGUAAUGAUAUCAUGACAAAUAAACACAAUAAAAACACAACUGCUACCAAUGGAUCACUUGGUUCUC
rnacentral:misc_RNA from 1 species